AUAAAGUUAGUUUAAAUUAAAACGGUAGGUUGUGGUUCUAUAAAUAAAUAGUUUGUUUACUUUAUU
rnacentral:tRNA from 1 species